rnacentral:piRNA from 1 species
UGGAAAAGUUGAGGUGAAUGUCCAGG